rnacentral:lncRNA from 1 species
UGACGCUGCAGGGCGGGCGGGGUAAAGAAGGGAGCGAGCCCUUCUCAAGCUUGGAAAGUUUCCAGACUGCUGGGCCAGCCUCCUCCCCAGAGGGAAACUGAGGUCCGAUUGAGGUUUCUCCAAGACCGCCCACUCCUGCUCCUGUCCCCAAACCCCUUUCUGCCUAGGGUUCCUGGAAGCCAAGGAAACAGAACGAACUGUUCCCUGGGUGGGCGAGCCACUGCAGAGUACAAAGCUUUCAGGCCGCCUGCCUCAUUAGCACUAAUGGCUGCUCCCUUCCGCCCUGUGUCGUCAGGACUGUCUAUGCCUGGUCUCAUCAGCACAAGGCUGGGCUGAAGAAGUCCCAGGAGUCCUCCCAUGUCCUCUCAGCAACCCAGGCUGGAGCCUACUCCUUGGUGUUGGCAAAGGAAACCGUCUUUGAAGCCAGAGGGAGCCCUGAAUUCAUGCAGAGGAGUUUUUCUACCUUCCAUCUGCUUCUGCAUAUCAUCUUGUCUACUUAAUGCCCCUCCUUCCGGAUUUAUAGAACAGUAUGCAUAAUAUGACCCCAACUGCAUUCCAAAAAAUAGAUGUAGAUGUAAGCUUAGAGAUGCAAAGAAACUUUUUGAGAGAAUUCACUAUGCUUCUCGCGGGUGGUGACACAGUUCAAGGAGGUUCCAUGGGGUGUAAUGUUUAUCUUUCUCUUUUGUCCUUCUGAUCAUUGAAAUGAUGCUUUGUGUGUGUGAACAUGUAUUACUUUUAUAAUUAAAAUAGAAAAAUUAAUUUGAAUGGGACAAAUGCUCGAAGUCAAAGUCACCUGUUAUAACUGCUGUCACUAACAGGGCAACUGUUUGAAAAUGCUGCAGAAACAUGAGAAAUGUUCAUGAAGUGACCCUGUGGAGGCUUCCGGUCACAGGAUCAUGUGAGCGCCACGAUCACCCCAGGGGUGGAGCAGAUGCUAAGUGUUCACCACACCCAAUUCUCUUCCUGGACACACAGGAAGAUGACAUUUCCAGUGACAUGCCCCACCUCUAGGCCCUAGUCUUUUUUUUAUUUAAAGGUCUGAGUCUUGUUCUGUCACCCAGGCUGGAGUGCAGUGCUGUGAUCAUGACUCACUGCAGCCUCAACCUCCUGUGCUCAAACAAUCCUCCCACCUCAGCCUCCCUAAUAGCUGAUGUCAUAUAGGCAUGAGCCAGUGUGCCUGGCUCAGGCCCUACCCUUAAAAGCAUCCCACCUGAUUCACCAGCCCCCUUCUCUCUCUCAGUAAACUUGGAAACCACGCAUUCCAGAUGGUAUAAUUUACAGCAUGAUGGAAAAAGCCAGCUCUCCAUGGGAAGCUGGCCAGUCUUCAUUGGAGUACAUUUUUAUUGCAUGAAGCCAAUGAGACUUGAUAUUGUUUAACUCUGUGGUUUCCAAAGUGCGGUCCUUUUGAAGUAUCCAUAAAGUCUACACUAGGUUCACGGUAAUAUUAAGAUGUUAUUUGUCA